UUGCAGAAAAAUAUUCAAGAAGAGAGAGCAUAAUAUAGUUCAACCUAAUUAAUUUUAACACAUUGACACAUAAUAAUUUUUAUUUAUUUAUUUAUUUUCUUAAGAAAACACGGUACGUGUAAAUUAACAAAUAAAAUCUUUUGAAUAUCUCAAGAGAUCUUAUAACAGUACCCAUCAUUUUAUUUAAUUAAACACAACAUAAAAAAGUGACACUUCAUGUACUUAACCAGUGUGGUUGGGAUUUCUCCCGUACUGAGGAGUAACAAGAAGAUCAAGAUUUUCAUUCAUAAUCUCAUCAUCAACGAUACUGCCACAUGGCGGAAAUUGAAGACCCUCCAACCAAUUAUUCUUGCCUGAAAAAGUUUAUAUAUAUUAGAAAACUUACUCACAAAAGCAUAUAUUAAAAUAAGAAUUAUAAAUGAUAUUCAACUGAAAUUGGCUCAAAAACCUGUGCAUAGAGUUUCCAUAUUCUUCAGAGCUUCUAGUGAGCCGUAAUGCAAAGUAUAAAAGUUCCUUCUGUGAGUUCUUGCUAGCUUCUAGUUUGAGAAUAUGUAUAUACACACACACACACACACGUACACGCACAUUAACACAAGUAGCUGACGUGUGGGCGAUUGGCG
rnacentral:lncRNA from 1 species